ensembl:misc_RNA Metazoa_SRP Metazoan signal recognition particle RNA
GCCAGGUGUGGUGGUGCACACCUGUAAUCCUAGCUACUCAGGAGGCUGAGACAUGAGAAUUGCUUGAACCUAGGAGGCAGGGGUUGCAGUGAGCUGAGAUCAUGCCACUGCCCUCCAGCCUGGGUGACAGAGCGAGACUCUGUCUCAA